rnacentral:rRNA from 1 species
GACGAACGCUGGCGGCGUGCUUAACACAUGCAAGUCGAACGGAAAGGCCCUGCUUUUGUGGGGUGCUCGAGUGGCGAACGGGUGAGUAACACGUGAGUAACCUGCCCUUGACUUUGGGAUAACUUCAGGAAACUGGGGCUAAUACCGGAUAGGAGCUCCUGCUGCAUGGUGGGGGUUGGAAAGUUUCGGCGGUUGGGGAUGGACUCGCGGCUUAUCAGCUUGUUGGUGGGGUAGUGGCUUACCAAGGCUUUGACGGGUAGCCGGCCUGAGAGGGUGGCCGGCCACCUUGGGCCUGCGAUACGGCCCAGACUCCUACGGGACGCAGCGGUGGGGAAUAUUGCACAAUGGGCGGAAGCCUGAUGCAGCAACGCCGCGUGCGGGAUGACGGCCUUCGGAUUGUAAACCGCUUUCGCCUGUGCCGAAGCGUGAGUGACGGUAAUGGGUAAAGAAGCACCGGCUAACUACGUG